rnacentral:rRNA from 1 species
GAUGAACGCUGGCGGCGUGCCUAAUACAUGCAAGUCGAGCGAACAGAUGAGGAGCUUGCUCCUCUGACGUUAGCGGCGGACGGGUGAGUAACACGUGGAUAACCUACCUAUAAGGCUGGGAUAACUUCGGGAAACCGGAGCUAAUACCGGAUAAUAUAUUGAACCGCAUGGUUCAAUAGUGAAAGACGGUUUUGCUGUCACUUAUAGAUGGAUCCGCGCCGCAUUAGCUAGUUGGUAAGGUAACGGCUUACCAAGGCAACGAUGCGUAGCCGACCUGAGAGGGUGAUCGGCCACACUGGAACUGAGACACGGUCCAGACUCCUACGGGAGGCAGCAGUAGGGAAUCUUCCGCAAUGGGCGAAAGCCUGACGGAGCAACGCCGCGUGAGUGAUGAAGGUCUUCGGAUCGUAAAACUCCGUUAUUAGGGAAGAACAAAUGUGUAAGUAACUAUGCACGUCUUGACGGUACCUAAUCAGAAAGCCACGGCUAACUACGUG